GACAGGGGGCCCGAGCGUUAUUCGGAAUUACUGGGCUUAAAGAGUUCGUAGGCGGCGCAGAAAGUAGGGUGUGAAAGCCCUCGGCUCAACCGAGGAAUUGCGCUCUAAACUACUGUGCUUGAGGAAUCUAGAGGUGAGCGGAACUGAUGGUGGAGCGGUGAAAUGCGUUGAUAUCAUCAGGAACACCGGAGGCGAAGGCGGCUCACUGGGGAUUUUCUGACGCUGAGGAACGAAAGCCAGGGGAGCGAACGGG
rnacentral:rRNA from 1 species